CAUCGACAUCACUGCAGAUGAGAGAUAUAGAGAGACCAGAGUUGUGUACCCUGGAGGCUAUUACCAUACUGCCGUGAUAACAAAGUUAUUCAAAGUUCAAAUCGGUACUUUGAGCCUGUAGCCUACCAGUAGAAUGGGGGCGUUGUAAUUAAUAUCCUCCGACAUUGGAGGAUACAGGGGAGAGUUGCCAGAGGUAGAGGAGAUGGAGGAUGGGGCGAAGUAAAGACGAAGAUUGAAGAGAACUAACUUAUGGCCUGAUGACAGGGUGGAUGACGAUGGAGGCAUGGAGGUUGGGGGAGAGGAGGCUGAAGAAGUGGAGACAAAUCAGUUUAGAUUCAUUAUGUUGAUUAGUUUAAUAUUUAUUUUGUACAUCAGUAUAGGCCUACUUUUAUUUACAUUUUUUUCUCAUUUAGAUUAUUAAAUUCAGAUAAUUUUAUUGUUUUUAUGAAAAUGUUUUCUUAAAUUUUUAAUAUUUGUUUGUACUUCUGCCUGUUGAAAAAAUAUACUGUUUAUUAAGUUUGUUAAAAUGAUUACUUUCACUAACUGACCUUGUCUUGGGUGAAAAGAGACAUCUUGAUAUUUAACUAGCAGGGUGCCUGUUCUAUGGGCGGGGAUUGUAUAAGUCAGUUGAAACCUUCUUAUAUUUUGAUACUUAGUAAAUUAAUCAUUUACAACUUUAUAUAGUAUAGAUCGCUAUUCCUGUAUUGAUGUACUGAAAUGAAUAAAAUUAUAUGAAAUGAAA